CGAAAGCCCUGACGGAGCAAGACCGCGUGAGGGAGGAAGGCUCUUGGGUUGUAAACCUCUUUUCUCUGGGAAGAAGCUCUGACGGUACCAGAGGAAUCAGCAUCGGCUAACCUCCGUGCCAGCAGCCGCGGUAAUACGGAGGAUGCAAGCGUUAUCCGGAAUUAUUGGGCGUAAAGCGUCCGUAGGUGGCUCUUCAAGUCUGCCGUUAAAACCAGUGGCUUAACUACUGAGGGGCGGUGGAAACUGAAAAGCUAGAGUGUGGUAGGGGUAGAGGGAAUUCCCAGUGUAGCGGUGAAAUGCGUAGAGAUUGGGAAGAACACCGGUGGCGAAAGCGCUCUACUGGACCACAACUGACACUCACAGGACGAAAGCUAGGGGAGCG
rnacentral:rRNA from 1 species